rnacentral:lncRNA from 1 species
ACCCUUGCCUCGCCUGCUCCCUCUGCCUCAAAGCAGAACAUUCUGGACUUGGGGUGAAAAGCCUGGAUUUGAGCUAUGCUGCCCACCACUCUGCCUGGGUUUGCUUUUCUGGAUAACAUCUGCCUGCCUGCUGUGGCUCCACUGGUUGCCCCCCUGGCGCCACAUCUCUUCUCCUCUGCUGCUGGAGUCCAGGUCUGCCCUCCUGGGGCACCCGCCCAGCUCACAGGCAAACCUACCCGGUCUCGGGGGCUGUGACUGAGGGGUGUGGCAGAGGCUUCGGGUGUUCACUGGGAGCUUCCGCAGGGGAACCGGCCUGGUAGGAACGGCCGCUUUGGGGAAGGCAGAACCAUCGGGAACCAGCCUCAGGGUGCAGGCUUCCAGGACAGUGCUCACUCUGGGCAGAGCCACCACCACAUUGCUUACUCGUCCCCACAGAUGGAACAGGAGCGAGGUCGCCUGUAUCCUCCGGGAAAUGCUCCUGGAGGUCAGGGCAGCCGGGUGAGCACUGGGUCCGGCUGCUCUCCCCAGCUUCUCUUCUCCAGUCAGCCAACCCAGCCUCCGCGAGAGACAGAGGAAAGACAGACACGGCGUUGGCUGCGCGGGGGCCUGCAUCCCUCCCGACCUUCUCAUUUGAUCCUCCUGCCCUAUGCGGUUGGUGCCAACGUUCAUCCCAUUUUACAGAUGAGUAAACUCAGCUUCAGUGAGGCCGGGGCCUUCCUGGAGAUCACAGAGCAAGCACCAUCAGUCUCAACUGUCGCUGGCCGGAGCUGGCUCUACGCGUUUCUUUCCUCGUACUCUGUGGUCUACAAGGACAGGAGGGACGGGGUCUCGACCUGGACCAACCCAGGCUGGUCUCAAACUCCUGGGCUCAAGCAAUCCACUUGCCUAAGCCUCCCGAAGUGCUGGGAUAACAG